GAUGAACGCUGGCGGCGUGCUUAACACAUGCAAGUCGAACGAUGAAGCCCAGCUUGCUGGGUGGAUUAGUGGCGAACGGGUGAGUAACACGUGAGCAACCUGCCCCUGACUCUGGGAUAAGCGCUGGAAACGGCGUCUAAUACUGGAUAUGUCCCGUCACCGCAUGGUGUGCGGGUGGAAAGAUUAUGGGGUUGGGGAUGGGCUGGCGGCCUAUCAGCUUGUUGGUGGGGUAAUGGCUCACCAAGGCGUCGACGGGUAGCCGGCCUGAGAGGGUGACCGGCCACACUGGGACUGAGACACGGCCCAGACUCCUACGGGAGGCAGCAGUGGGGAAUAUUGCACAAUGGGCGGAAGCCUGAUGCAGAAGCGCCGCGUGAGGGAUGACGGCCUUCGGGUUGUAAACCUCUUUUAGCAGGGAAGAAGCGAAAGUGACGGUACCUGCAGAAAAAGCACCGGCUAACUACGUG
rnacentral:rRNA from 1 species